UAAGGAAUAUUGCGCAAUGGGCGAAAGCCUGACGCAGCGACGCCGCGUGGGGGAUGAAGGUCUUCGGAUUGUAAACCCCUUUCGGGAGGGAAGAUGGAAUGGGGUAACCCAUUCGGACGGUACCUCCAGAAGCAGCCACGGCUAACUUCGUGCCAGCAGCCGCGGUAAUACGAAGGUGGCAAGCGUUAUUCGGAUUUACUGGGCGUACAGGGAGCGUAGGCGGUUCGGUAAGCCCUUUGUGAAAUCUCCAGGCUUAACCUGGAAAAGUCGGAGGGGACUGCCGGGCUAGAGGACGGGAGAGGAGCGCGGAAUUCCCGGUGUAGCGGUGAAAUGCGUAGAGAUCGGGAGGAAGGCCGGUGGCGAAGGCGGCGCUCUGGAACGUUUCUGACGCUGAGGCUCGAAAGCGUGGGGAGCAAACAGGAUUAGAUACCCAUGUAGUCCCUGAGCGGGCUGGCAAGGCGCAU
rnacentral:rRNA from 1 species